rnacentral:misc_RNA from 1 species
GUGAAUCAUCGAAUUUUUGAACGCAAAUUGCACUCUCUGGCAUUCCGGAGAGUAUGCCUGUUUGAGGGUCAGUUUAAAUAAAAAUCUGUGUGGUUGCUGCAUUUCGUGGUGACGCACCGGAUGUGGGUCGUUUUGUUUUCGGGUAAGUGGCCUAAAAUUUGGCAUGAUUCGUUCGAAUAUAUUUGAAUGAUUUUAUGUACGUUUGCGAUAUCGAAUAAUAGCUGCG